GUUCACCUUGCCUAAAAAGCUGGUGAAGUAAGAAGCCGGGUAAGACCGGUGCCAGCCGCCGCGGUAAUACCUGCGGCUCGAGGUGGUGGUCGCUAUUAUUGAGCCUAAAGCGUCCGUAGCCGGUUUAGUAAAUUUUUGGGUAAAUCGGGCAGCUUAACUGUCCGAAUUCCGAAAAGACUGCUAAACUUGGGACCGGAGGAGGUUGGAGGUACUCCUGGGGUAGGGGUGAAAUCCUGUAAUCCUGGGGGGACCACCAGUGGCGAAGGCGUCCAACCAAAACGGCUCCGACGGUAAGGGACGAAGCCCUGGGGCGCAAACGGGAUUAGAUACCCCGGUAGUCCAGGGUGUAAACGCUGCAGGCUUGGUGUUGGGGGUCCUACGAGGGCGCCCAGUGCCGGAGAGAAGUUGUUAAGCCUGCCGCUUGGGGAGUACGUCCGCAAGGAUGAAACUUAAAGGAAUUGGCGGGGGAGCACAGCAACGGGUGGAGCGUGCGGUUCAAUUGGAUUCAACGCCGUAAAACUCACCGGGAGCGACGGUUACAUGAAGGCCAGGCUGAUGACCUUGCCUGAUUUUCCGAGAGGUGGUGCAUGGCCGUCGUCAGUUCGUACCGUAAGGCGUUCUGUUAAGUCAGAUAACGAACGAGACCCUCAUCCUUAUUUGCAACUAUUUCUCUCGAGAAAUAGGCACUAUAGGGAGACCGCUGGCGCUAAGUCAGAGGAGGGAGAGGUCAACGGUAGGUCAGUAUGCCCCGAAUCUCCCGGGCAACACGCGCGCUACAAAGGACUGGACAAUGAGUCUCGACACCGAAAGGUGAAGGUAAUCUCGAAACCAGUCCAUAGUUCGGAUUGAGGGCUGUAACCCGCCCUCAUGAAGCUGGAAUCCGUAGUAAUCGCGGGUCAACAUCCCGCGGUGAAUAUGCCCCUGCUCUUUGCACACACCGCCCGUCAAACCAUCCGAGUUGGGUCUAGAUGAGGGUGCCUCUACUUGGGGCGUUCAAAUCUGGGUUCAGCAAGGGGGGUUAAGUCGUAAC
rnacentral:rRNA from 1 species